UCUUGGCAUAUUGGGUGCCUCACCUCUUACGUGUGGUGAUUAAUUUUAAUCCCAUUUAGCCCGCCUCUCUCUCUCUUCUUUGACAGUGAUUGGCUGAGAUAUGGGGUUGUGACCCUAGCCUAGCCAAUGGGAUGUGAAGAAAAGUUUGUUAAGGAUUUUAAAAAUACUUUCUUCAUUCAGAAGGAGGUACCAAAUACUUCCUCCUUCAGCCUGACUGUGAUGACCUAUCAGUGUGAGAAAGGGUUACUUCUUGUUGAGGUUGCCAUUGCGGAUCACAAAGGGCCAAGACAGCCCAAAGCUAUCUAUCUCUCCCAGAGCCUUCCCAAGCUGAUGGCUCAUCUUCAGUCUUCAGAACCCCAGCAGGAUUUCCACUUGCCUAAUGCCCUCUUGGACGCUAUGAAGAUUCCGGAUACAGGCUUCCCUGGCUUCACCUAAGUGUUACCUCCUGAUGCUUGCCUGUGUUUUCAAUCACCUGGAGUCGGGCUCUGUGGCUGAGCAGAGAGACGGUGUGUGUCGUUGUAGAACAGCAAUGAGAUGCAGUCUACCACCUUCUCUUCCGGAGAUGGAGUCCGUGAGGAGAGAGGGACCCAGGGCUCCCGCCACCCAAAUUGUCAGCUUUAUCCCUUCUACUGUCGUCUACACCUGCCUUCACCAGGGCAAAAGCAAACAGUGAAUUGAGACAACCGACUCCAAGUAGUUUAAUUUGGGAGCCUCGGGGCUGUUCCUUCCAAGGAAUGCUGGCUGAAGUGCAUGGAAAAUUAGAGAAUUCCAGGAAUGGCAGGACAGAGACGGUGUAAAGCAUUUCAGCCACACUCUGGGAGGAUCUGUUCUUUAUACGGUCUCACCUCACACUGGGCGGGCCGCGCGCUUAGUUUUGUCGUCCAUAAAAAUGGAUGCAAUGAUGUCAUCACACAGGACCCCGUCGAGAAUUAAGUUGCCGCCUCCAGUACACCAUCCUGAAGCAGGACAGGUGCUUGCUAAGCGUCCGCUUCCACCCUCAGCCUCAACCUCAACUGAUGAAUGGCCCCAGUGGAAAGAGAGUAUUCUGGACUAUCUUACCUUGGGAUCCUUGACAUCUUGCACCUACCCGUGUGUAAUUACCAUUGAGGUGUGGUAAUUAAUGACAAUUACCAUCAAGUGUGGCCUGAGGGGUCAACAGGUCUGUAAAGAGCAGGGAGAACCAGGUCCCACAACAGCUCUCUGUGUGACAAAUAGGGGUGGGAAGUGGUGUCACUGGCUUGAAAGAGCCUGGGUGGCCAGAGGACUUAGAAGAUGAUUGUGACUCUGCUGCUGUUAGCUACAUAAUCGUAUGACACUAUUCGAUACCUUUGGGUUUUACUUCCUCACUUAGAGGACACAGCUUGCGCCAGUUGGCUCUAUUCACCACGUAGAGCUCGUGCACACACUGGGAAGAGCCUACAGUGUGGACGCCAGGUCAAGGAGUUAGUAGUGCUUCUGUCUCCUCAUUGGUGGAGGGUGGGGUAUUAACAGAGCUUCCCCUCUCCUCCCUCACCUACUGGGCCCCAGAAGCUGACCAGACACGCUCUUCGACACAUACAGAAGCCUUUGACCUCUUACUGUCCUUGUCGUGGAAAAUCAGCUGUUUGCAAAAGUCCUCCCACUCUUAAACUUGUAGCACACGCUCGGCCACAUGGCCACCUUCUGUUGAGCCAACUGGAGUAUGGAGAUCAAGGACCUUGGUUUGCCCUGCGGAGGAGUUGGUAAUUUUCCCUUUCAGAUCUAAGGCCUGUGGUAAGAUACAGAUCUCAGCUUCUUCUUCUUCUUUUUAAUCUCCUUUGCAGAAAAUCCUCAAAAAUCUUAGAAACUUCUAGAAGCCUUUAUUCCAUCCUCUUCUCCAUUUUUGCAGAGGAAAGCACAAAAGACCCGGAGUGGGGAGAAGAAGAGCCUUAGAAAGCUUAGCAAUUGACUGUCCUCGAUCUCCUUCCUGGACCCUAUCUUUGGCCAGGAGGGGCCUGACUGACUGAUGUAGAGAGAAAUGAGAGGAAGGUCAUUGGGAGGUUACCCCCACAGUUCAGUAUGGUAUGAUGGGGGCCUAUGUGGAGUGGGAAGGGGGUUAGAUGUUUAAUCCAAUGACAAUCCUCAUAGUAAAUUGAUGACUGGUGACUGGAUGUGUGAGCUUCAGCGGGAACAGAAGACGCCUGUUGUUGGUUGGUGCAGGACAAGGCAUGUGUAGGAGGUGAGAGUUCGGAGGGUGGGCAGUGAGCUUUAGGCAGGCUUGGGGAAGUAACCGUGGGACAUGCAGAGAAAGGCGUCCAGUGGAUAGUGAGUGGCUGUGUGGCCUGAGCUCAGGGCGCAGAUGGAGCGUGAGACGUGGUGCUCCACCCGCCAGAUCUAGAAACUGAACCUUGGGAGGGGAGGGUCAGCAGAGGAGAAUUCAGGGCAAGGUAUAAAUAGAGCCACGGAUACCUUCCCUGGGAGGGUUAUUCCUGCCCUCCAAUCGCCUUUCUCUCAGACCAGCACUGCACAUAAUGGUGUGGGUGUGGGUGUGUGUGUGUGUGUGUGUGUGUGUGUGUGUGUGUGUGUUUAUAGAAUAGAGCCAACCGCUGAGAGGCUAAGUGGCUUUCUCUGAUGCCCUGAAUACAGCAUUAAAAAUCGUCCCCGCUAACCUGCCAUCUGAUUUCUCUCCAGCUGGCUGGUAAUUUCUGUUAAAUCCCAAAUGACCAUGUGUGAGGCUCCCGGGGGCCUUCAAAGAGCACAGGUCCCAGGAACACAAAAGCGCCUGGGAGAUUUCUCAGCCCAGGGAGCUUAAGCUUCUUUUUCUUUAAUUUUUAAAUAACUCAUUCCAGAUUUAGCAAAAGAUCCAUUCAGAAGGAGCCUGGCCAGGCAGUGUGAGUUGACAGCUCUGUUUCUGAACAAUCCAUUACUGAUUCAGCGCCAGCCACGAAGCCAGCAGGUGCUGAGCUAAACGAAACUUGUAGGAGCACACACCAAGAGAUGAGGAACAGGAGAGUGACGGCAGCCUGCGCUCAGGGUGGUCCCUCCAGAGAGGAAGACAAGAGGGUUGGGGCGAGUGUCUCUCCCCACUUGGUAUAGGGAAACUUAUGUGUUCCCUGGUGUGCUGGGUAUUCCAUUAGACCUUUCCAUAUGUGGUGACUUAGUCCUCGUCCGUGACUUGUGGGGCACGGCACAUCUCCACUGUACAGAGAAGCAAACGGGACCUUUGCAGGUGGUGGGUGUGUUUGAGGGUGGACAGUGAAGAGACUGCCAAUGUGAGAGAGAACGGCCAGAGGCCUGUGGAAGAGUCCAGAGCAGAGAAAGAAGCAGACUGGACAUGGCCGGGCCUAGGGAAGCAGGAUAGUGGGAGAGAGCGGUGAGAUAGAUAGAUAGAUAGAUAGAUAGAUAGAUAGAUAGAUAGAUAGAUAGAUAGAUAGAUAGAUAGAUAGAUAGAUGAUAGACAGAUAGAAUAAGUCUGAGCGGGAGAUGAAGAUAUGUAUAGUGAGAAUAGCUGGGUUAUAAGAAGGAUGCGUAGCUGUGGAGGGGAAGCCUGUGAACUGGAGGGAUUUUAGGGUAGAGAAGGAGGUGAGAAGGGCCAGGACUCCAGCAUGGACUUUGAACUGUGUAACAGGUACUUGUGAUGCUGAGGGAGCCUGGAGGCCCCACAGCCCUAGCCAGAUGUUCCUUCUGUCAGAGACAAGGGGAAUGACUCCUUUUGGUAGAUGGGAACCGGUUUCACAAGUUUCUGAGGAGUUCUGGCUUUUAUCUAACCACCAGAAAUCCUCCUAUAGUCCAGGCUGAGCUCAUUUCUGACUGUUUGGACAGCCUUUGAGACCCAACAGUGAUCAGUUACAAAAGACCGCUGCAUUCAAGCAUCUGAUUCUGGGUCCAGAGCUCUCUUCUCAGUGACGUAUUAGCAGGGCAGGAGGAUGGUGUGGUAACUGCUCUUCUCCAAGAUUGUCCCAGGGAACUGAUUUCGGUAUCCAUCCCCUCUUGUAUCUCCCUUCCAUAGGGUAUCUGGGCUAGCCCUAUGUGGCUGCUGUGGAGAAAAUGAUGCUAGAGAUUUCUGAAGCUAGGGCCAGGCGCCAUAUAGCUUGUUCUCUGAGAUGCGUAGAUGUUGUGAGAAGCAAGUAGCUAUGGAAGACGUCUGACUUCUUGAAGACUAACUACCAUGCUGUUUUGAAGCCCAAGCUAAUCACGAGAAUGGGGGUAUAGAGGAAGAUGCCCCGUCUCUCUCCAGCUGCUCAAGCUAUCCCAGCUGAGGCAUAAAUCAUGGAAGCCAGUGCUGCCAGCAGGGUCUAGAUUGAUGGCAUCGGAUGCCGAGACACGGAGCCUCUACCUUCUGUCACUUCGCUUGGCACGUCGGGUCAGAUCAGCCAGAACCACAGCCAGGCUCAGAAAUGUCACAUCGAUUGCUUACUCAGAACACGUUCCCCUGGCCUUUCCUCCCAUCUAGUCUGUGGGACGAGGGGGCCUGCUGUAGAUUUCAUGUCUGCAGGGCAAAAGGAGCAGACAAGGAGACCUGAGUCACGUCAGAAGGCACAGAUAAGGGAAGGUGGAAGUCUCACAUGAGGACCCAUAGGCUGACGUUUGGGGCUGCUCCUUCUCCCUCCGGGUGGGCCUUGGGGAGCCCCAGGCGAACGAACACACAGAGGCUCUGUCACUGGGUAGCAUGGCCCCUGCAGGACUGCUUGAGAACAGAGUGCCGGGCAGGGCUGACUUCCUGGGACUCCGGAUCGGGGCCUCUGUGUGCAAAGAUGUUUUCCAUCAGCCCCCACCUCAUCUGCUACACAUCUACAGCCCCUCCAAAGCGUCGGCCAUUUGAGGGCAGGUGAGCAUGGGUGCCACCUAGAAAACAGCGUGAGGCGGUGUUGAAAAGCACUAGAUGACCCCUGUUACAAGAGGAAUCAGAUUGGUGGGCCAGAUCCUAUACCCUCAGCCUCCCAGGGCCUCCAUCCUACACCCAGAUUCCCUUCUCAUCGGAACCCUGCCUGCUCCUCAGAGCCUGCCUGGCCUUCCCCUCCAUUGGAAAAGCCCACUUUCCACCCUGGGUAUUUUGCUUCCCAAGCCUCCCUUUGAGUUCUGCUUACCUUUUGUUUUCUGUACCCACACACCAUGUGUAUUAUUACAUUGACUUACUUAGUCUUCCAUACAUUGAUUCUUUUAUUGUCCUUAAACUGACUGAUUUUUGAAAGAGAAACAGUAUGAUGCAAACCAGAACCAUUUGCUAUAAAUAGGAGUCACCUGUAUGAACAAAUACAGUGUUGGCUGCCAAGGACCUGGGCUUGCAACUUACUCUGUGUUUAUGGAAGGGAAUAUUGCCAUCUGUGAAAGAUACACCAACGAGACACUCUUCUACAGGGAACCAAGGUAGUCCGGCAGAGUGGCAUUGGCUGCUGACUCUUCCAUUAAUGCUAAUUAAUUAAUGAAUUAAUGUUCGGCCUGAAGAUCUCUUCUCCCACCCAUGGCUUCAUCUUCACGUUUUGAUAAUCAUGGACAUUCCAAAUUUAGCCUUGCCUCCAAAUUUAGGUUCUCUUGCUGUUCUGUGGACAUCGCUGAGUUCUUUUUCCAAAUAUUUAUAGCAACAGGGUCCUAUUUUAUAGUAAGCAGACAACACUCACGGUGAUUUGUCUGUCAUCUAGAUGUCCUUAGUCUCAGUUCUAGCCUGCCAGAGGUCUCAGGCCCCGUGAGUCAACAACCAUGCUCUUCGUGGUGUGCGUGCAGGAUGAGCGAGCUGCAGGAUGAGCGAGCUGCAGGAUGAGUGAGCUGCAGGAUGAGUGAGCUGCAGGAGAUGAGUGAACUGCAGGAUGAGUGAGCUGCAGGAGAUGAGUGAGCUGCAGGAUGAGUGAGCUGCAGGAGAUGAGUGAGCCGCAGGAUGAGUGAGCUGCCGGAUGAGUGAGCUGCAGUAGAUGAGUGAGCUGCAGGAGAUGAGUGAGCUGCAGGAGAUGAGUGAGCUGCAGGAGAUGAGUGAACUGCAGGAGAUGAGUGAACUGCAGGAUGAGUGAGCCGCAGGAUGAGUGAGCUGCAGGAGAUGAGUGAGCUGCAGGAGAUGAGUGAGCUGCAGGAGAUGAGUGAACUGCAGGAGAUGAGUGAGCUGCAGGAUGAGUGAGCUGCAGGUUUGCAUGCAGCAUCUUCUGUGCUCCAUGCUGACCACUCAGGUUUGUCCUGCUGAAAGGAAUUCAGUGCCUUGGGACUGCUUCACUGGCCCGGGCUACUCUGAAGCUGAUUUCAUAGCACCAUAUCAAAUGCUACGCACACAAGCCACUUCCUGGCUCAGAUCAAUCAUUCUUUGCAGUGUACAGUUCAACAAAUUUUGUACAAUGAAAAGAAUUUGCAAAAUCAAAUGCAUCGUGCAUGAGGGCUUAUUGUCUGGAGUUGUACACAUUAGUGAAAGGGAGCACUUGAAAUCGGUGGACCCACUACAUGUAUUCAUUGCUUCCUCAUCCAUUCAGCAAACUCUAGCAAAGCACCUACUGUGUGCCAGGCCUUGGGGGUGGUGGGGGGUGGAAAAGUAAGUUGUGUUUCUACUCUGGAGAGGGUCAUCAUUCAGAAAGGGUGAUAGCCUGAGUCCGGAACAAUCGCUGCAAACCAAGGCAACCCAGGCACGAGCCAAGUGCAGGGAGAGUUGGAGAACCCUGAGUUCCCACUGAAAGACCUGGAAAAAGUAACACGAAGCGAUGACCUUUGAAUGAAGCUUUGAGAACGAGCCAGGCUUGUCAGAGAAAGGGCAUUCCAGGCUAACAAACAACCAGGGAGCAAGAGCCCGGAGGCUCCUGUCUGUGUUUUCUGAAAGUGAUCAAUUUCCAGAGCUGGUUACAGUCUAGGAUAUCUGUGGGGAGGAACAGGAGACAGAGAGAGAGGUGGUAGACCUGGAAGGGCUUUCGGUGUCUAACAAAGGGGUGCUGUUGGGGUCCCUUAAAGGGGGAAUGUAACAGAGUGGCUAAUUCUGCUCACAGAGUUCUGCUGGGCCUGUGAGUUCCUGGCACAGAAGCUCAGUUUCUCAUGAUGGAAGAGGCACAUGGGAGUGAGCAGAGAGCAGUGCUCAGGGAUUCUAGGGAGGUGCUUGCACGGGGAGCAGUGCCCCAGGAGAGAUGGCCCCCUUUUGACAGUCUGUAUUCAGUUUUCUUUGGGUUUCAGAAGUGAUGGUUGGCAUUUCAGCAGCCCUUUUGGGCCCCAAAGCUGCCUUGAGGAUGAAAGCCAAGCAUGGAGAUGGCCGAAGAAAAAGAGCAGACAGCAACCUUGUAUGUCAUCUCUUCUGCGUGAAAAAUAUACAAGGUGUGUGUGUGUGUGUGUGUGUGUGUGUGUGUGUGUGUG